UNUGACUUGAGUGCAGAAGGGGAGAGUGGAAUUCCAUGUGUAGCGGUGAAAUGCGUAGAUAUAUGGAGGAACACCAGUGGCGAAAGCGGCUCUCUGGUCUGUCACUGACGCUGAGGCUCGAAAGCGUGGGUAGCGAACAGGAUUAGAUACCCUGGUAGUCCACGCCGUAAACGAUGAGUGCUAGGUGUUAGGCCCUUUCCGGGGCUUAGUGCCGGAGCUAACGCAAUAAGCACUCCGCCUGGGGAGUACGACCGCAAGGUUGAAACUCAAAGGAAUUGACGGGGGCCCGCACAAGCGGUGGAGCAUGUGGUUUAAUUCGAAGCAACGCGAAGAACCUUACCAGGUCUUGACAUCCCAAUGCUAUUCUUAGAGAUAGGAAGUUACUUCGGUACAUCGGAGACAGGUGGUGCAUGGUUGUCGUCAGCUCGUGUCGUGAGAUGUUGGGUUAAGUCCCGCAACGAGCGCAACCCUUAUUGUUAGUUGCCAUCAUUAAGUUGGGCACUCUAGCGAGACUGCCGGUAAUAAACCGGAGGAAGGUGGGGAUGACGUCAAAUCAUCAUGCCCCUUAUGACCUGGGCUACACACGUGCUACAAUGGUCGGUACAACGAGUUGCGAGCCGGUGACGGCAAGCUAAUCUCUGAAAGCCGAUCUCAGUUCGGAUUGGAGGCUGCA
rnacentral:rRNA from 1 species